rnacentral:rRNA from 1 species
GGGAGUGAAAUAGAACCUGAAACCCUGCACUUACAAGCUGUGGAAGCACAUUUCUUGUGUGACCGCGUACUUUUUGUAGAACGGGCCAACGAGUUACGUUAAGUAGCAAGGUUAAGCACUUAAGGUGCGGAGCCGUAGCGAAAGCGAGUUUUAACUGAGCGUUCAGUUACUUGACGGAGACCCGAAACCGGGCGACCUACCCAUGAGCAGGAUGAAGCGAAAGUAAAAUUUCGGGGAGGUCCGAACCCACGAGCGUUGAAAAGCUCGGGGAUGACUUGUGGGUAGCGGUGAAAUUCCAAUCGAGCCCGGAGAUAGCUGGUUCUCCCCGAAAUAGCUUUAGGGCUAGCCUCAAGGUGAGAGAUACGGAGGUAGAGCACUGAAUGUCCUAGGGGGUAUUGCACCUACCGAAGACUAUCAAACUCCGAAU